AGGAGGUACGAGAAAGGAUAGCUGGAGAAGAACAACAUCAUGAAAGCCUUUCGUGCCUAAAAUAAGGGGGGGCAGAGAGAGAAUUGUGCUUGGUACCUGGAUCUUAAAUCUCAGAAUAACAGCCUUUCCAGUGCCUGUCACAGAUCAUUCAUGUCGUUUUGUGGGACCGAAUAAGGACGGGCUUUACCACUAAUGGAAUACCAUAAGAAGAACAUAGUGUUUACACUGAAUUAAUAAGAUGAUCAGACUUUCAGCACUUGGAGGAAGACCGUCAACUACUUAAAGGAUUAAUUAGCCAUCACUAAACAAACAGAUGUACGAAGGGAGGAAGUUGCCUGUUUAUUCUGAAACUUCAAGAUUCUUUCAUUUAUAUAAUAAAUGUUUGGAGGGCAUGACUGGUGAAGACAGAAUGUGUCAAAUCCCCUCCCUGCCUGAAAAAUAAUGGACUUCCCAUACCCAAUACCUUAGACGUGUGAGAGGGUCUGGCCGUAAAAGCAGUAGGUUAUACCUAAGUUAAAUGAUGUAGGCUUUCUGCAAUAUCACCAUAACACAGCAGAGGCAGCUACUAUUACUAGCUGAGAUAAUAUUUAUGGGUAUGCAGAGCAUCAAUUUACUAGGAACUGGUGGCACACACAGCAGUGUCAAAAGCUUCUUCAGAAUCAACAGGGUCAAUGAUAAUCACUGAAAUAUAUAUAUAUAUACAGGUUGAGUAUCCCAUAUCCAAAUAUUCCGAAAUACGGAAUAUUCCGAAAUACGGACUUUUUGGAGUGAGAGUGAGAUAGUGAAACCUUUGUUUUUUGAUGGCUCAAUGUACACAAACUUUGUAUAAUACACAGAGUUAUUAAAAAUAUUGUAUUAAAUGACCUUCAGGCUGUGUGUA